GCAGGACAACAGCUGGCUCUUGCGUUCAAUCCGUGUGCUCGCUGUUUGUGCAGAGGACAACUGUUGGCUUUUGCGUUCAAUCCGUGUGCUCGCUGCUGGUGCAGAGGAUGGGACUUUGAAUGGCCUAGCAUGCAUGAAAACGUUGCUAAAUGAGUCUCGGGCACAUUCAUCAGUCAAUAGCCUAACAUAUUCAGGAAUUUAAUCUUCAAGCAAUGGAAAGGGCUAACCAACAUCCAUAAACAUCUUCAAUAGCUUCACCGCUUGUAGCCCUGUGAACAAAAAGGGAAACGAGUAUUGCUCUGACCUGCUUCAAGAUCCUUAAUUUGAAUUCACGCACGACUCCUGCCAGUGGCUUGAAUGAAUGCUUGACUACAAUGUACGUGGCGGUGAGAGGAUCCUCUCUCAGACAUUUCAUCUAAACUUAAUCAAAUCACAUCAAAUACUUGUGCGUUCUGUUUUUUUUUUCUGCAAGGAAUCUCAAUCGUGGUCUCUCCAUGGUUGAUAGCUACAAGCUGUUCAAGCCAAGCCAAGACUUGACCGAUUAAGGGACUUUCAUUUUGUGUGCUCUCAGGUGGUGCAUUGAAUGGGUUGUUCCAGGAUAUGGACACCAUGUUCUGCGCAAAACUGAUCGAAGGGCAAAGAGAGUUUUUGCCUAGAAGCAUUUACCUGAUGACCCUGUUUUCCAGCUGGUGUCAAAGCUUUACGAAGUUGUGCCACCCUGUUCUCACCGAGCUUGGAAAGGUGAAGAACCCGUGACCAAGUGUUGAUGCUCACAGUGGGGUCUUGCUGGACUACUAUGGUCGAACCGAAGCAAGGUACUACACCGUUCUCUUUGGUGUUUGAAGGAGUCGUGGCAUCUGCUCUCAGAUUUACGCUACAGUGUGCCUGCAUCAGAUUAGAGUUAUGAACAGAGGACACAAACCUCAUUGAGGUGUUGAGCAGACUUGGAUACAGUGUGUUGUUUCAUUGAUAAUAAGGAUACGUGUGUAUCACUUCUAAUGUUUUUGUGAUUAGUGGAUCUUUUAAAAACCCGUCUUUCAGUCCUAAAAAACUAAUAAAAAAGAGAGAACUAA